GACGACAAAAAGGUGACAAAAAGACGACAAAAAGGUGACAAAAAGACGACAAAUAGGUGACAAAAUAGGCAACAAAUAGGCGACAAAAAGGUGACAAAUAGGUGAUAAUAAGACGACAAAUGGGUGACAAAAAGGUGACAAAUGGGCGACAAAAUGACGACAAGAAGACGACAAAAAGGUGACAAAUAGGUGACAAAAAGGCGACAAGAAGACGACAAGAAGACGACAUUAUUACAUCAUGCAGCAGGUUAUUACAUCGUGCGGCAGGUUAUUACAUCAUGCGGCAGGUUAUUACAUCGUGCGGCAGGUUAUUACAUCGUGCGGCAGGUUAUUACAUCGUGCGGCAGGUUAUUACAGAAUGAAGUGAUUGUAACAUUUUGACUGUUUAUUAUGUGUUAAAUAUUAACUCUG